GGAGGUAAAAUUAAACCUAACUUAGAUAGAUAGAUAGAUAGAUAGAUAGAUAGAUAGAUAGAUAGAUAGAUAGAUAGAUAGAUAGCCAAACAGACAGACAGGCAGAUAGAUAGAACGACAGACAGACAGAAAGACAGAUAAAUACCACCUUAAAUACCUUUUCUCAUGAUUGGAUACACCUGGCUAUGAAGUUCAAAGCUCAGUGAGGUUAACAAACCAAUUUUGUGCUUCAGUAAGUCAGUAAAAAGCAGUAAUAGGGAGUAUUCAAAUCCAUAAAAUGAUAAGGGUGCCCAUACUUUUGCACCGGUCAAAUUUUGGUUGAAUGCAUAUUGCACAUUUUCUUCAAUCCUGAAAUAUUACUGUGCCCAUCAGUAAUUAGAUAUAUCAAACUGAAAUGGCUGUUAGAAACACCCAAAUAUUUAGAACUAAAAAUGAUUAAGAUUAAUAGGGGAGCCCAAACUUUUUCAUAUGACUGGAUAUAAUGAUGAGUUGAUGAGUAAAAUAUGAUACACUUGGCUUUAAUAGGUUAAGAGAUGUUCUCCAGUGAUAACAGUGAUCAUUUUCCCACCUGUUCUUCUCACCUUCUCAAGCUUUUCUAUCUACUCAGUCUUUGAUGGAUCCAUUGGACCUAGCAGUGACUGAUGGGUUAAGCGAUCUCGAUGUGAGGCUCCUGCAAGUCAUUAGUGCACCUACUCUUCCUCCUCCUCCUCCUCCUCCUCCAACUCCUCCUCCAACUCCUGCAGGUACACUGAGCACAGUACAUAUAUAUACUGAGGGUUCAGGUUCUGGUAAUUACACCUGUAUAACAUGUUUAUAACUAUUUUCAUUCUUUAUAACAGAGAGCAGCGUCAGGUUCCUGAUCUCCUCCUCUGAUCAGACCUCACCGCUCUGCUAUGACCUUAAUGUUCCAGAAAAACUGAACCUCCUGAAAGAUCCUGCUUCAGGUGAGGCGUCCUGUUCGUACACUUAGGGCGUUUUUUUAAUACCAGCACUAUUUGAUUCCGUUAAAACGGAC
rnacentral:lncRNA from 1 species